GACGAACGCUGGCGGCGUGCUUAACACAUGCAAGUCGAACGAAGAGCGAUGGAAGCUUGCUUCUAUCAAUCUUAGUGGCGAACGGGUGAGUAACGCGUAAUCAACCUGCCCUUCAGAGGGGGACAACAGUUGGAAACGACUGCUAAUACCGCAUACGAUCUAACCUCGGCAUCGAGGAUAGAUGAAAGGUGGCCUCUACAUGUAAGCUAUCACUGAAGGAGGGGAUUGCGUCUGAUUAGCUAGUUGGAGGGGUAACGGCCCACCAAGGCGAUGAUCAGUAGCCGGUCUGAGAGGAUGAACGGCCACAUUGGGACUGAGAAACGGCCCAGACUCCUAAGGGAGGCAGCAGUGGGGAAUCUUCCGCAAUGGACGAAAGUCUGACGGAGCAACGCCGCGUGAGGGAUGACGGCCUUCGGGUUGUAAAGCUCUGUUAAUCGGGACGAAAGGCCUUCUUGCGAAUAGUUAGAAGGAUUGACGGUACCGGAAUAGAAAGCCACGGCUAACUACGUG
rnacentral:rRNA from 1 species